UCAAAACAAAACACUAACCCCUCAGUGAAUACUAUUCUAGCAACCUUCUUUUCUACUCUACAUCUACCCUUUGUGUCACUAUACCCUCUAACAUGUAAGCUCACUGAGCAGGCCCUCAAUCCCUCUCUUACUGUGUCACUAUACCCCACUCCCUCUAACAUGUAAGCUCACUGAGCAGGGCCCUCAAUCCCUCUGUUACUGUGACACUAUACCCCACUCCCUCUAGCAUGUAAACUCACUGAGCAGGGCCCUCAAUCCCUCUCUUACUGUGUCACUAUACCCCACUCCCUCUAACAUGUAAACACACUGAGCAGGCCCUCAAUCCCUCUGUUACUGUGUCGCUAUACCACAUGUCCUCUAGCAUGUAAACUCACUGAGCAGGGCCCUCAAUCCCUCUGUU